GAUGAACGCUGGCGGCGUGCCUAAUACAUGCAAGUCGAGCGAACAGACGAGGAGCUUGCUCCUCUGACGUUAGCGGCGGACGGGUGAGUAACACGUGGAUAACCUACCUAUAAGACUGGGAUAACUUCGGGAAACCGGAGCUAAUACCGGAUAAUAUAUUGAACCGCAUGGUUCAAUAGUGAAAGACGGUUUUGCUGUCACUUAUAGAUGGAUCCGCGCCGCAUUAGCUAGUUGGUAAGGUAACGGCUUACCAAGGCAACGAUGCGUAGCCGACCUGAGAGGGUGAUCGGCCACACUGGAACUGAGACACGGUCCAGACUCCUACGGGAGGCAGCAGUAGGGAAUGUUCCGCAAUGGGCGAAAGCCUGACGGAGCAACGCCGCGUGAGUGAUGAAGGUCUUCGGAUCGUAAGACUCUGUUAUUAGGGAAGAACAAAUGUGUAAGUAACUAUGCACGUCUUGACGGUACCUAAUCAGAAAGCCACGGCUAACUACGUG
rnacentral:rRNA from 1 species